CUACGUGCCAGCAGCCGCGGUAAUACGUAUGUCACAAGCGUUAUCCGGAUUUAUUGGGCGUAAAGCGCGUCUAGGUGGUUAUGUAAGUCUGAUGUGAAAAUGCAGGGCUCAACUCUGUAUUGCGUUGGAAACUGCAUGACUAGAGUACUGGAGAGGUAAGCGGAACUACAAGUGUAGAGGUGAAAUUCGUAGAUAUUUGUAGGAAUGCCGAUGGGGAAGCCAGCUUACUGGACAGAUACUGACGCUAAAGCGCGAAAGCGUGGGUAGCAAACAGGAUUAGAUACCCUGGUAGUCCACGCCGUAAACGAUGAUUACUAGGUGUUGGGGGUCGAACCUCAGCGCCCAAGCUAACGCGAUAAGUAAUCCGCCUGGGGAGUACGUACGCAAGUAUGAAACUCAAAGGAAUUGACGGGGACCCGCACAAGCGGUGGAGCAUGUGGUUUAAUUCGACGCAACGCGAGGAACCUUACCAGCGUUUGACAU
rnacentral:rRNA from 1 species